AUCGAACGCUGGCGGCAGGCCUAACACAUGCAAGUCGAGCGAGCGGCGGACGGGUGAGUAAUGUAUGGGGACUGCCCGAUCGAGGGGGAUAACUACUGGAAACGGUGGCUAAUACCGCAUACUAUCGGAUAACCCAUAUGGGAUUAGCUAGUAGGUGGGGUAUAGGCGCACCAAGGCGACGAUCUCUAGCUGGCCUGAGAGGAUGAUCGGCCACACUGGGACUGAGACACGGCCCAGACUCCUACGGAGGCAGCAGUGGGGAAUAUUGGACAAUGGGCGCAAGCCUGAGACAGACAUGCCGCGUGUAUGAAGAAGGCCUUAGGGUUGUAAAGUCCUUUCAGCGGGGAGGCGUUACCCGCAGAAAAAGCACCGGCUAACUCCGUGCCAGCAGCCGCGGUAAUUC
rnacentral:rRNA from 1 species